rnacentral:rRNA from 1 species
CGGGGUGCAGCAGGCGCGAAACCUCUGCAAUAGGCGAAAGCCUGACAGGGUUACUCUGAGUGACUUUCGUUAAGAGAGUCUUUUGGCACCUCUAAAAAGGGUGUAGAAUAAGGGGUGGGCAAGUCUGGUGUCAGCCGCCGCGGUAAUACCAGCACCCCGAGUGGUCGGGACGAUUAUUGGGCCUAAAGCAUCCGUAGCCGGUUCUGCAAGUCCUCCGUUAAAUCCAACUGCUUAACAGAUGGGCCGCGGAGGAUACUACAGAGCUAGGAGGCAGGAGAGGCAAGCGGUACUCAGUGGGUAGGGGUAAAAUCCGUUGAUCCAUUGAAGACCACCAGUGGCGAAGGCGGCUUGCCAGAAUGCGCUCGACGGUGAGGGAUGAAAGCUGGGGGAGCAAACCGGAUUAGAUACCCGGGUAGUCCCAGCCGUAAACGAUGCAGACUCGGUGAUGGGUUGGCUUCGUGCUAACCCAGUGCCGCAGGGAAGCCGUUAAGUCUGCCGCCUGGGUAGUACGGUCGCAAGACUGAACCUUAAAGGAAUUGGCGGGGGAGCAC